UCGGAUUGCAGUCUGCAACUCGACUGCAUGAAGCUGGAAUCGCUAGUAAUCGCGAAUCAGAAUGUCGCGGUGAAUACGUUCCCGGGCCUUGUACACACCGCCCGUCACACCAUGGGAGUUGGAAGCACCCGAAGUCGGUGACCUGACCGUAAGGAGGGAGCCGCCGAAGGUGAAGCCAGCGACCGGGGUGAAGUCGUAACAAGGUACC
rnacentral:rRNA from 1 species